UGAUUUAUGCAAUGCAAUUAAGGUUAGCAUUCGCUACUAAUUUGUAAAAUUGGUGUCACAUCUAUGAUUCAAAUUUUGAUAAUUCUUAGUUAAUUAGGUAUUUUAAGUGUAUGUAAAUUUUUGUAAUAAUUCCAUGGUGCAAUGGAGAGAUAUCUAGGCUUUGAUACAAGAACAUAUUAGAAGUUGGCAGUUUGGAGUUGGAUAGGAUUUCUAUGAUAUUUGAAGAUCUACUAGUUGGAUCAAGGUGAUAUUUGGCAUGGUUUUGGAGGACUUAAAGAUUAAGCUACAUAUUAAUUUUGUAUUAAAGUUAAAAAUUGGAGAAAGAAAAAUCAUUGCUGGAAUAUUUACAUCAACUAUCAAGUUGACAGUUAAGUAACAUCAGUGUGGUUUUUGGAUAUUUUUUUAAAAUUUUCAAGUUAGAUUCGAAUAAAUUCUUGUUAAGCACAUGGAAAGGUUAUAGUGGUAUUUUUAUGCAAAAUUUUGUUCUAAAUAAAUGGUUAGAUCACAAGCUAAAAUUUGUUAAAGCUUAUUAAUUAAGAUUAAGGUUUGUAAAGAAAGUUCAAAAUUACCUAAUAAUUGAAGUAAUAAGGCAAUUAGAAUUUAUAUAUAGUUGUGAUUACUAAAAAGAGUGUUUUU
rnacentral:lncRNA from 1 species